rnacentral:lncRNA from 1 species
UGCAAAUGAAAAUGUCAGCAAAGAAAUGAAGCGCUGAAAACAUAAUAACAAAAUCAGUAGAAAGCAAUGUUUACAAGUCGGGCGACCAGCUGGUCGAGUGAGAGGGGCGACCAGGCGACUAAUCGUGAUUAGGGCGACGAUUAGUCGACCUAAUCGGUCCUGGUCGACCUCUGGUCGUCCGUUAGUCGUCCUAUGGAUUUAAGGACAUAUGUAUAUGUAUAUAACUAUAUAUUAACUAUAUAAACACUGCAUUUCUGCAAUAAUAUAGGCAUAAUUAGUAGCAGACUAGCAGUAAUUCAGUAAAAGUGUAAAACUGAAUCCAUCCAAAGUCUAAACUGAAAGUAAUAUUACCUGCUGGCUGCUACCUAGAGCAGAUCAGCAUCCAAACAAAAUGCAUCAGCAGCAGCACCAUCUUCGUCCAAUCCAGUUGCUUCUUGGGUUUGUUCUGCUUGUGCUGCAGCAACACCAUCUUCUUGAUCAUCACUAUCCUCCUCUCCAAUAUCUUGAGCUGCUGUAUUUCUUGAACGCUUCCUUGUCCUAACAUAUGUUCGUUGAGGCUGAGAAGACGAACCAGCACCUGCAGCAGCUAUUCUUGGCAAGUUUCUGCCUCGAAGAGCCUGAGUUGCUCCUAAAGCCUCAUCCACAGCAUGCCAUAUGUUGUUGUCACCAUCAUCUUCAUUUUCUUCAACCCAUUCAUUUUCCCACAUGAACUCUUCAAGCACGAGUGGGUUGCUUCUUUUUCCUUUGGAUCCCAGCUCUCUUAGUGUUUGAAACCUAUUUUCCAUCUUCCUAUUGUAACUGACAUAGACCAAUUUAUUAAGCCUCUGGUGUUCUAGUCGGUUCCUCUUUUUUGUAUGGAUCUAAAAAUGCACAAUUGCAAGACAUCAGAUUCAGCAAAAAAGGGCUGACCUAUACAACCACUCAAACAAGUGAACAAGAACAACAAUACUUACUGCUGCAAAAUCUGACCAAUUUCUCUCACAACCUGAAGCUGCACAACAUAGGCUUAUAACCCUUUUUGCUAAGCUUUAUAGUUCAUAUGCCAGUCCUCCAUAUGCACCCCACCAUAGGACUGUUAUAGUUAUACAAAAAAUAGAUCAGUUGUAGUGCCAAACAGAAACAGGCAAACAAACUAACUAAUGCUGCAAUAGUAAAACAGACUUACUAGGACUUUUUUUCUCUCUUUCUCUUAUUGCUCCAGCCUUUGAAAAGCAUUCCCCUUCUGAUCUUUCAUAGUCAUCUGCUUGUUUACUUAUUUUUGUUUGCUCAUCCUCAUCACUGAUCAUUUUCCACAAAACAUCAUUGAACAUAGCUCGAAGUCUUGCAGCUUGCCUCCUGUCUUUAUCCCUUAAGGUAAAGAAUUUACCUGGAUUCAAAUAAAGGGCUGCCCCAUAUAAUUUUUGCUCCAUCUGAGUAUCCCACCUCUUCUCAAAGCAUGAGAUUACUUCAGCAAGUAAUCGUGGCUUCUCUUUCAAAGACUCUUGUAUGGUAGCUUUUGCUUUGUCCAUAGCUGCCAUUAUCUCUGGAGCUGUUGGCGUCUCAUCACCGUCAGCAAUCCUUAGAGCAAUGAGUAGUGGUUGUGAAGCCCGAAGACAAUUUUCAAGAGUUUGCCAAAAUGAUACUGAAAGGACAAUAUUUUCAGCUUGUUCACCUUCUUUAACUAGGGCAAAUUUAGACCCGUUCCAUUCAUCACUAACAAACAAGCCUUGUAAUUUACUCUUAUGCUUAUACAUGCUUGCCAAAGUCAAGAAUGAUGUUGCAAAUCGAGUCACACCUGGCCUAACAAGGUCCCCACCUAGCUUUUCUCUCAUUAGGCUGUGAAGUCGCCCAUGCUUGUACAGGAACCUCGAAACCUUCUUGGCCAUGUUGAUGCAAGUGUUGAACUCCUUGAUCUUGCCAAUAUCCUCCAACAACAAAUCCAAGCAAUGCGCAGCACAAGGAGUCCAAAACAGAUGGGGAAUUCUGUCCAUAAGGAUCCUCCCUGCUGCUUUGAAAUUGGCUCCAUUGUCAGUGAUCACAUGUACCACAUGUUCUUUCCCCACCUUAAUUAUUUGCUUCUCCAAUAGAUCUGCCAACAUAUUGGCAUUUGCUAUCUCACUUGAUGCAUCGACAGAACCUAAGAAGUAGGUCCCCGCUGGACUGUUGGCAAGGAAGUUUAUCAAAUGCCGUUGUCGUAUGUCAGUCCACCCAUCUGACAUAAUUGAGCAACCAUAUUCCUUCCAAGCCUCUUCGUGCUUAGCUCUCAAUGUUGAUGUUCUCUUCACUGCCCUUUCAAGCCAAGGUACCCUUGCCUCAUAGUAUGAUGGGCCACGAUAUCCAGGACCAUACUGACCAAUGGACUCCAUCAUAAUCUGCCAGCUUCUUGAAUUGACGACAUUCAAUGGAAUCUUGUUCUCAUAUAGAAAAUCAGCUACAUGGUCGUCAACAAUUUGCUUUGCUUCUGUUCCUUUCUUUGUGCAAUGCUCAAGAGUGGUCUGAGAAGUUCUAUUUUUAUGUCUCUCUGCUACAACUUCCUCUGGAGUCUUGCAAAGCAUGGCACUCACUGAUUUGCUUGCCUUCUGUGUAUUUGGUUUUAUAGGAGCUGCUACAACAAAUGAAGACAUGGAAGCUUGAGCAAUUUGCUUUUUUGUUUGCUUGGUUUUUGUCCCAGAACUUGGUAGGGGGCCUACAUCAAUCUGCUCCCCUUCCUCUUCACCUUCAUCACCAUCCGCAGUAAUCACAACCCUCAUGUUCCUUCUCAGAUAGGUGUGCAUCUCCUUUGAAACCACUUCUGGUACUCUAGCACACUUCAUGGUGUCACCAAACCCACCGGCUAGAUGCUGCUUAAACCUCUUGAUUCCAGAUGGCACAAUCUUCUUACAGAAGACACACUGAACAAAAUCCUUCUUUGUUGUGUCUGGCCACCACCCAAACUGCCAUCCUGGGUCCUGUGACCUUGCCUUUCUCUUGGGGUCAUUUGCUUGUGCACUAAGGUCAGGAGGGAAUGCUGCAAUUGCCUUUUCAGCAAGGGUUUUACAAUCUGCAGCAGCUGAUAAAGCAGACGCAGGACCAGUGCUACCUGCAUUUGAGGCCACUUGAGGAACAGAAGCACUUUGACUUUCACUGCCGACCAUAUUUGACCCAGGGAAUAAGACCUCAACGUUAUUAGCACGUCCACAGCCACCAUUAAAAUCUGAACAGACAACACAAACACACAAUCAGAGAAGGGAGAGGGAAGGGCUACUGCUAUCUUCCGGGCGCUGCAGAGGUAACAGAGGGAAAGGGAAGGCUGGGAAAUAAUCAGAGAAGGGAGAGCAAGUGCUACCUUCAGAUGACGAGCUCAUCUUCAAUUCUUGACUAGCUGAGUAGCUGGCAGACGCCGGACGGCUGGAGCACUUGGAGGCCUGACCGCUGGAGCAGAGACGCCGGCAAGGACAGAGGAGAGGUGAGAGAUGUCGGCAAGGACAGAGGAGAGGAGAGGAUUAGGGUUUUCUGGCGGCUAGGAAAUGUUCUGGCGGCUGGAAGGCCUUGGCGGCUGGGAGCCUGGGGGGUUUCUGAAGGGGCGCUACUAUAGAUGGGCCAAAAACCAGAGGGAAGCCCAGUACCAAAAGUCCAGAACUGAAACGACCAAAAACGACUAGACUGCGCUCGACCAGACGACUAAUCGCCCAGGUCGACGACUAGUCGGACGACUAGGACGACUAGAAACCCUAAUCACGUCGUCCUCCUAAUCGCCCAUCUCCAGGCGACCAGCCCGACUAAUCGCGAUUAGUCGGACGACUUGUAAACACUGGUAGAAAGCUUCACAGUAACAGUAUUACAAGGUUACCAUUUCAUGGUAUUAACAAAACUUAUGAAUUAUUCUGAUCAUUUGAUAUUGAUUUAUUAAUGAAUAGCCCAAAAC